UAUAGAUGGAUCCGCGCUGCAUUAGCUAGUUGGUAAGGUAACGGCUUACCAAGGCAACGAUGCAUAGCCGACCUGAGAGGGUGAUCGGCCACACUGGAACUGAGACACGGUCCAGACUCCUACGGGAGGCAGCAGUAGGGAAUCUUCCGCAAUGGGCGAAAGCCUGACGGAGCAACGCCGCGUGAGUGAUGAAGGUCUUCGGAUCGUAAAACUCUGUUAUUAGGGAAGAACAUAUGUGUAAGUAACUGUGCACAUCUUGACGGUACCUAAUCAGAAAGCCACGGCUAACUACGUGCCAGCAGCCGCGGUAAUACGUAGGUGGCAAGCGUUAUCCGGAAUUAUUGGGCGUAAAGCGCGCGUAGGCGGUUUUUUAAGUCUGAUGUGAAAGCCCACGGCUCAACCGUGGAGGGUCAUUGGAAACUGGAAAACUUGAGUGCAGAAGAGGAAAGUGGAAUUCCAUGUGUAGCGGUGAAAUGCGCAGAGAUAUGGAGGAACACCAGUGGCGAAGGCGACUUUCUGGUCUGUAACUGACGCUGAUGUGCGAAAGCGUGGGGAUCAAACAGGAUUAGAUACCCUGGUAGUCCACGCCGUAAACGAUGAGUGCUAAGUGUUA
rnacentral:rRNA from 1 species